rnacentral:lncRNA from 1 species
AUUCUAUGAUAUUCAAUAAAGAUAUUUUACAUUUUAAAGAAAAUAUUGUGAUAGAUGAAGUAAAUGAUGAUAUAUAAAUGAAGUAAAAUUGUACUCAUUUUUGAGUGCUAACCUUUCUAUUGCUUUGUUGCUUGCUUAUAUAGUGCAACAUAAUUUUUAAGAUUUUAGCUUAUUAGCCAUUUAAAUUUAUCUAGAUACUCAUUAUGCUUGAUAUAAUAUUUAAUUUAA